rnacentral:rRNA from 1 species
UACGUAGGUGGCGAGCGUUGUCCGGAUUUACUGGGCGUAAAGAGCGCGCAGGCGGUCGUACAAGUCGCGUGUGAAAGCCCCCGGCUCAACUGGGGAGGGUCACGCGAUACUGUUCGACUCGAAGGCAGGAGAGGGUAGUGGAAUCCGUGUGAGUGGUGAAAUGCGUAGAUAUCGGGAGGAACACCAGUGGCGAAGGCGACUACCUGGCCUGUUCUGACGCUGAGGCGCGAAAGCUAGGGUAGCAAACGGG